rnacentral:rRNA from 1 species
UAUCUCUGUAGAGUCUGCAUAUCAAUAAGCGGAGGAAAAGAAACUAACUAGGAUUCCCUUAGUAACGGCGAGUGAAGCGGGAAGAGCUCAAAUUUGAAAUCUUCAAGGUUCUACCUUGACGAAUUGUAGUUUAAAGAAGUGUUUUCUGUUGAAUUUUGGUAAAAGUUCUUUGGAAUAGGACAUCCAUAGAGGGUGAGAAUCCCGUAUUUGACCGUUACUUUCCAGCUGUGUGAUACACUUUCAAAGAGUCGGAUUGUUUGGGAAUGCAGUCCAAAAUGGGUGGUAAAUUUCAUCUAAAGCUAAAUAUUGGCGAGAGACCGAUAGCGAACAAGUACCGUGAGGGAAAGAUGAAAAGAACUUUGAAAAGAGAGUUAAACAGUACGUGAAAUUGUCAAAAGGGAAGCGUUUGACACCAGUGUUGUUUUCUCGAAAAUCAAUUAAAAAUGGCUUGAUUUUGUGUUGUAUUGACUUUAAAAGCUUUCUUCACUUUUCUCAUGUCUUUUUUAAUGCACUUUUCGUUUAACAAGUCAACAUCAAUUUCUUUUGUUGUAAAAGGGUCAUUGGAAGGUGGCUUUCUUUUCGGAGAAAGUGUUUAUAGCCUUUGGCCUCUGCAAUCGGAGAGAUUGAGGUCUGCAGCGUAGAUCCUUCGGGGUUAGAUACAUUUGUGCUAAGUUAUAGCCUUUCAUAGACAACUUGUUGACUAUGAUCAGUCAUGUAGCUUACUCGCUUAUGCUAUUUUACCUACGCUUAGGAUGUUGAAGAUGUAGCACAUCAU